UACAGAGGGGGCAAGCGUUAUUCGGAAUUAUUGGGCGUAAAGGGCGCGUAGGCGGCUUUUCAAGUGACGGGUGAAAUCCCUCGGCUUAACCGAGGAACUGCCUGUCAGGCUGGAAGGCUUGAGACCGGGAGAGGUGAGUGGAAUUCCCAGUGUAGCGGUGAAAUGCGUAGAUAUUGGGAGGAACACCAGUGGCGAAGGCGGCUCACUGGACCGGAACUGACGCUGAGGCGCGAAAGCGUGGGGAGCAAACAGG
rnacentral:rRNA from 1 species